CCUAAACUCCUACGUUUAAUCAGUCAAGUACUAUAGUGUGGCAACACGUGAACAUCAAGCAACCCAGUGAUACAAGGUAUCAUGAACGGAAACACCAGAAACCAAAACAAUUCUGAUCAUGAAAAUUUAUUUGGCAUAAAAAAAACUACGUACUGAAGAACUGUGUAAAACGUUUUCCGUACCAUGGAAAGCGUAAGUUUACACCAUUACUUCACCAAUCUUUAGAUGGAGGAAUGGUGAUCUCAAAUGACGUUUUCGGAUUAACAAUCAGUCAGUUUGAACGAAUGCAUAAAUAGAUAUAGUAAGAUGUGGUAUGAGUGCCAAUGAGACAACUCUCCAUCCAAGUUACAAUUUAUAAAAGUAAACCAUUAUAGCUCAAGGUACGGCCUUCAACACGGAGCAUUGGCUCACACCGAACAGCAAGCUAUAAAGGGCCCCAAAAAAUUACUAGUGUAAAACCAUUCAAACGGAAACUUGUUUAGAAAGAAGGAAAACAAAAGAACAGUGGAUACUGAACCUUAGAUAUCCUGACAAAUCAUCUAAAGAAUAUCUGGAGUACUUAGAAAACUGUACAGACAGUAAUGAAGAUGUAAUAUUAUUUGCUAAAACUCAAGAAAGUUAAAGGUGUUAAGUUGGUUUUGUUGUAAUGCAAGUCCAGAGACAGUCUUACACGGUAAAAGAUACUAUGCUUUAUCUAGAAAACCAUAGGCCCAAAACAAACAGACAACACUAUGACUAAAACCGGAAAAGACACAGAUACUCAUGACAAUGCAAAUUGGUACUAAGAUGCAUUUGGUUAUUUACAAUCCAAGUGGACGGGAUAAACUAAAUUGACAAUAUAAAUACUGUCUGUAAAGUGAAAUCUGUAUGAAGAGUUGAAAUAUCUUCCUUGAACGGAAAGAACUCAAGGUAAAUAUCAAUAAACUAGCUGAAGGUUGAGGUACAUUUCAUGAAAAGGUAUAAUAUUUGUUAAUAGUUCAAUACUAAAUUGUGACAUAACUAUUAAUGUAUAUUAGAUUUAAAAAAUGUAUAGGUCGAUUUGCACCAAUUAAGUGAAAUGCUAAUUCACUCAAUUAUUAGGGUUGCAGUAAAAACUGUAUAAUUCAUGACAUAACUAUUUAUAAAAUAGAUGCGUUUAAACCGUUAGUAUUCUAAAUGUACCUUAUUCAGAAGCUCUUAAACCAAAUAUCUUUAAGCAGCAAUACAGAUGAUGUUUAAGAGACCAAUGUGUUUUAAAUAAUUCAACAGUUGAUAAAUAAGAUAUUUGAAAAAUAGGAACGCAUCAAGGAUACUUCAUAUCAACAUUUAACAUUUGGUGACAGUACAUUUAAUAGUUUUGAAUACAAGGCCGAUGAUACCCUGACCACGAGAAGGAAAUAGACAACAUACUUAAUACUGUUACCUUUGUUGUUAAUUGUCAAACCUGGCUUUACAUAUACAAUGCUAUACGUCCAUGGCGUCUACAUAACACUCAACAUUGAUACUAUGAUCAGAACAAUUGCUUGGAAAACAAUUUAGGGGAGUUAAUAUUUUAUGUACGAACGUCAUUUUGUUGUUUUAUGAUACAUUAGUAAAUACGCAUACUUUUUAUAGAUCACUUGCUUUGGAUUGAUUGGAUGGAGAAAUGCUUGUACGAACAUCUAGUACAAACAAAAUACGGAAAAGACAACGACUAUUUAUUAUACAAGAUAUGAUCGUCAAAUCUUCAGGUCUGACUGAUUGUAAACAAAUUUCAAGUGGAAGUUCGGCAGAAGGACUUGAUUUACCAGGUAGUGACAUGGAUGUUAUGUACAUAACCAAUGACUAUACAGUAAUACAUAAUGUUAAGAACAUCAAAAACCAAAUACAUCGUGAUCUGUUUGUUAAAGUAUCAGCACAUAAUAUAGAAUCUCUCCAUGAACGAUGUGGCCGUUGUCCACCAGGUACAUGUAAUGGUACACAAUUUCAUCUAGCAAUACAGAAAUUUCUUGAUAGCUGUAAACGAAGUUAUCCAAACGUGCAGACAUGUAUACACGGUCCAUGUGUUUCAAACAAAGAUCAGACAAUUGAUAUCGCAUACUGCCUACUGAGUGAAUAUCUACCUCACAACGCCCUUCCAUGGGCAUCACGUCAUCGAUGGCAGAAAAAGUACCUGUACAUUCAUUUAGUUUCGCUCAAGUCUUAUGUUACGGUCUACUCAAAUUGACACUUAAGCGUAUCAUUAGUACAAACAAUGCAGUAAAAGAUUUAUUGUGUUCUUACUUUCUAAAUAGAUAUAAGAAGAUGUGGUAUGAGUGCCAAUGAGACAACUCUCCAUCCAAGUCAAAAUUUAUAAAAGUAAACCAUUAUAUAAAGACGGCUUUAUUCUGGGAUUCGGACAAAGUUGAUAUUGACACAUUUCAAUUAUCUAAAAUAUAUCAUUGUUUUUCUCUCUGUCUUGAAAAAAUAAUAUCAUGGGUAAAGACAUGUUAUUGUCCGAACUAUUUCAUUCCUGAACAUAACAUGUUCCUAGGAAAGAUCGAUCAGAAUAACAAUACGAUACUACUGUGUGUUCUUGGGAGUAUAGAGUGUGGAGGGAUCGAUGGAUUGAUACAGUAUUUAUUUCCGCUUGAUAAUGACCAUCACCGUUUAUCAAGUACAAAGAGUGAAUAUUAGUUCCUUCUGCUAGACUUUCUACUUUACAGAAAUUGUUGUUACACGAUAGACACGAUACCAAGAGGCAUUUCAAAUUAUUAUAAAGCACUUUCAUGUAUUGAAUCUUUACUUAAGUCCGAAUUGUGUACAUUUAUUAUUGAUGCAUGUAAAUUGUAUAACGGUAUCAUCAGUGGAGAAUUGCACAAUUACUACCACCACCGAAUACGAACACGUAACACGUACACCAUACGCAAAUGUUACCAUACACUUUUCAAACACAUCACAAAGACAGAUGCUGUGUCUGGUUGGUUGUUAUACGCGUCGUUUUAUUAUGUAACAAGACAGUUCAAUGUAACACUUAGAAUAACGGAUGAUGUUCUAUCAAGAUGGUCACCUUAUAUGAUGCUCAUAGACUCUAGAGUCAACAGUGACAUACGGAAAAAUAUUUACAGACAUAACGUAAAUUCUUCAAUGUCAUUUAAUUAAAGGCUGAUAAUAGCCACUGCACAACAUGUCCACUGCUAAAAGCACUCAACAUGAGUACCACAAGAACUACGGCUGGAAGUAGAAUGCGAAGGGAUGAACAUACUACCAAAUGUUAUUACUCACUGUCUUAGAUUUCUAUGUAAUCAUCAUCUUAGUGGUAUAUCCAACAGACGAUAUGCAUAACGUGAUUUAUAUAUGCCAGUGAAAGAAAAUGCUUUUCGAAAAAUAAAUACAGAAUCUAAUGCAUUAACAAUAGUUGCAGUAUGUUUUGAUAUAUCCGGUGAUAAAGACACGUCAUGUCAGUGUUAUGAUGAAGCUUUGCAAUAUGAUAUCUAUGUAUGUCCUUCAGCAGAAGCGAGGAGAUCAAAACUUUUUGAGAUUUAACAUCAACAUAUACAUGUUAAAUCAUAAACAGUGAAUGGAGUAUGCUAUGUUGUAUUAUCAAAAGAUUGAGAUACAUUCUAUCAAAGUUACCAAAGGAGGUGUCUUAACUUGUUUCAUUAAAUUAGUAAACUCUUA